AACGAACGCUGGCGGCGCGCCUAAUACAUGCAAGUCGAACGAGAAGGUGUAGCAAUACACUUGUACAGUGGCGAACGGGUGAGGAAUGCAUGGGCAACCUACCCUCGAGUGGGGAACAACCAGCCGAAACGGUUGGCUAAUACCGCGUACGCUUCCGGGUCUCCGGAUCCGGAAGGAAAGUCACACCGUGGGUGUGACGCUCAAGGAUGGGCUCAUGUCCUAUCAGCUUGNGGUGAGGUAACGGCUCACCAAGGCAACGACCGGGUAGCUGGUCUGAGAGGACGAUCAGCCACACUGGGCAC
rnacentral:rRNA from 1 species